rnacentral:rRNA from 1 species
AUUGAACGAUGGCGGCAUGCUCUACACACGCAAGUCGAACGGUAACAUGCCUCAAGGUGCUGACGAGUGGCGAACGGGUGAGUAAUGCAUCGGAACGCGCCCAGUCGUGGGGGAUAACGGAGCGAAAGCUGUGUAACUCCUGCAUACGACGUAGGGAAGAAAGGGGGGGACCGUCAGUCCUCGAUCGAUUGGCGCGGCGGAUGUCAGAUUAGGUAGUUGGUGGGGUAAAGGCUCACCAAGCCAACGAUCUGUAGCUGGUCUGAGAGGACGACCAGCCACACUGGGACUGAGACACGGCCCAGACUCCUACGGGAGGCAGCAGUGGGGAAUUUUGGACAAUGGGCGCAAGCCUGAUCCAGCAAUGCCGCGUGCAGGAAGAAGGCCUUCGGGUUGUAAACUGCUUUUGUACGGAACGAAAAGGUUUGGGUUAAUACCCUGGGCCGAUGACGGUACCGUAAGAAUAAGCACCGGCUAACUACGUGCCAGCCGCCGCCGUAA